AACGAACGCUGGCGGCAUGCCUAACACAUGCAAGUCGAACGGGAUCCUAGCUUGCUAGGUGAAGAGUGGCGGACGGGUGAGUAACACGUGGGAAUCUGCCUUUUGGUUCGGGAUAACCGCGGGAAACUGCGGCUAAUACCGAAUGCCCUCGAGAGAGGAAAGAUUUAUCGCCAGAAGAGGAGCCCGCGUCCGAUUAAGGUAGUUGGUGGGGUAAAGGCCUACCAAGCCGACGAUCGGUAGCUGGUCUGAGAGGAUGAUCAGCCACACUGGGACUGAGAUACGGCCCAGACUCCUACGGGAGGCAGCAGUGGGGAAUAUUGGACAAU
rnacentral:rRNA from 1 species